rfam:Bacillus solimangrovi strain GH2-4 NODE_60_length_3329_cov_14.2502_ID_5964, whole genome shotgun sequence.
GGUUAAGUUAGAAAGGGCGCACGGUGGAUGCCUUGGCACUAGGAGCCGAUGAAGGACGGGACUAACUCCGAUAUGCUUCGGUGAGCUGUAAGUAAGCUUUGAACCGGAGAUUUCCGAAUGGGGAAACCCUCUGUUCGUAAUGGAACAGAAUCAUUAUCUGAAUACAUAGGGUAAUGAAGGCAGACCCGGGGAACUGAAACAUCUAAGUACCCGGAGGAAGAGAAAGCAAAUGCGAUUUCCUGAGUAGCGGCGAGCGAAACGGAAACAGCCCAAACCAAGAGGCUUGCCUCUUGGGGUUGUAGGACACUCUAUACGGAGUUACAAAAGAACAAUGUAGGCGAAGCAGUCUGGAAAGGCUGACCAGAGAAGGUAACAGUCCUGUAGCUGAAACAUUGUUCACUCUUGAGUGGAUCCUGAGUACGGCGGAACACGUGAAAUUCCGUCGGAAGCUGGGAGGACCAUCUCCCAAGGCUAAAUACUCCCUAGUGACCGAUAGUGAACCAGUACCGUGAGGGAAAGGUGAAAAGCACCCCUGGCGGGGAGUGAAAAAGAUCCUGAAACCGUGUGCCUACAAGUAGUCGGAGCCCGUUAACGGGUGACGGCGUGCCUUUUGUAGAAUGAACCGGCGAGUUACGAUCUCGUGCAAGGUUAAGUCGGAAAGACGGAGCCGCAGCGAAAGCGAGUCUGAAUAGGGCGAAUGAGUACGCGGUCGUAGACCCGAAACCGAGUGAUCUACCCAUGUCCAGGGUGAAGUUCAGGUAACACUGAAUGGAGGCCCGAACCCACGCACGUUGAAAAGUGCGGGGAUGAGGUGUGGGUAGGGGUGAAAUGCCAAUCGAACUCGGAGAUAGCUGGUUCUCCCCGAAAUAGCUUUAGGGCUAGCCUCAAGGGAAGAGUCUUGGAGGUAGAGCACUGAUUGGACGAGGGGCCCCCAACGGGUUACCGAAUUCAGUCAAACUCCGAAUGCCAAAGACUUAUCCUUGGGAGUCAGACUGCGGGUGAUAAGGUUCGUAGUCGAGAGGGAAACAGCCCAGACCACCAGCUAAGGUCCCAAAGUAUACGUUAAGUGGAAAAGGAUGUGGAGUUGCUUAGACAACCAGGAUGUUGGCUUAGAAGCAGCCACCAUUCAAAGAGUGCGUAAUAGCUCACUGGUCGAGUGACUCUGCGCCGAAAAUGUACCGGGGCUAAACGUAUCACCGAAGCUGUGGAUGUUUCUUACGAAACAUGGUAGGGGAGCGUUCUAAGCGCUUUGAAGCUAGACCGUAAGGACUAGUGGAGUACUUAGAAGUGAGAAUGCCGGUAUGAGUAGCGAAAGACAAGUGAGAAUCUUGUCCAUCGAAAGUCUAAGGUUUCCUGAGGAAGGCUCGUCCGCUCAGGGUUAGUCGGGACCUAAGCCGAGGCCGAAAGGCGUAGGCGAUGGCCAACAGGUUGAAAUUCCUGUACCACCUCCUCACCGUUUGAGCAAUGGGGGGACGCAGAAAGGUAGGGUGAGCGUGCGACUGGAAGUGCACGUCUAAGCCGUUAGGCUGACAGUGAGGCAAAUCCCACUGUCGUGAAGGCUGAGCGGUUACAGCGAGGGAAAUAUAAGUACCGAAGUCCCUGAUCCUACACUGCCAAGAAAAGCCUCUAGCGAGGUGAGAGGUGCCCGUACCGCAAACCGACACAGGUAGACGAGGAGAGAAUCCUAAGAUGAUCGGGAGAACUCUCGUUAAGGAACUCGGCAAAAUGACCCCGUAACUUCGGGAGAAGGGGUGCUUUUUGGGGUGAAUAGCCCCGAAGAGCCGCAGUGAAUAGGCCCAAGCGACUGUUUAGCAAAAACACAGGUCUCUGCAAAGCCGCAAGGCGAAGUAUAGGGGCUGACACCUGCCCGGUGCUGGAAGGUUAAGAGGAGGGGUUAUCCUUUUGGAGAAGCUCUGAAUCGAAGCCCCAGUAAACGGCGGCCGUAACUAUAACGGUCCUAAGGUAGCGAAAUUCCUUGUCGGGUAAGUUCCGACCCGCACGAAAGGUGCAACGACUUGGGCACUGUCUCAACGAGAGACCCGGUGAAAUUAUACUAUGCGUGAAGAUGCGCAUUACCCGCGACAGGACGGAAAGACCCCGUGGAGCUUUACUGCAGCCUGAUAUUGAAUUUUGGUACAGCUUGUACAGGAUAGGUAGGAGCCUUGGAAGCCGGAGCGCUAGCUUCGGUGGAGGCGUCGGUGGGAUACUACCCUUGCUGUAUUGAAAUUCUAACCCAGAGCCGUUAUCCGGCUCGGAGACAGUGUCAGGUGGGCAGUUUGACUGGGGCGGUCGCCUCCUAAAAGGUAACGGAGGCGCCCAAAGGUUCCCUCAGAAUGGUUGGAAAUCAUUCGUAGAGUGUAAAGGCACAAGGGAGCUUGACUGCGAGACCUACAAGUCGAGCAGGGACGAAAGUCGGGCUUAGUGAUCCGGUGGUUCCGCAUGGAAGGGCCAUCGCUCAACGGAUAAAAGCUACCCCGGGGAUAACAGGCUUAUCUCCCCCAAGAGUCCACAUCGACGGGGAGGUUUGGCACCUCGAUGUCGGCUCAUCGCAUCCUGGGGCUGUAGUCGGUCCCAAGGGUUGGGCUGUUCGCCCAUUAAAGCGGUACGCGAGCUGGGUUCAGAACGUCGUGAGACAGUUCGGUCCCUAUCCGUCGUGGGCGUAGGAAAUUUGAGAGGAGCUGUCCUUAGUACGAGAGGACCGGGAUGGACACACCGCUGGUGUACCAGUUGUUCCGCCAGGGGCAUCGCUGGGUAGCUACGUGUGGACGGGAUAAGUGCUGAAAGCAUCUAAGCAUGAAGCCCCCCUCAAGAUGAGAUUUCCCAUAGCGUCAAGCUAGUAAGAUCCCUCAGAGAUGAUGAGGUAGAUAGGUUCGAGGUGGAAGCGUGGUGACACGUGGAGCUGACGAAUACUAAUCGAUCGAGGACUUAACCAC